rnacentral:lncRNA from 1 species
GGAUGUCUGGUCGUACAGGAAAGGGCAGGGGCGACUCCCCACUCUUCAAGACCCUAGAACUUCACUAAUCUUGCAAAUUGAAGGUCCAAUUCAGUCCAAAAUCGAAAUUUAAGCAUGGAUUAUUGAUCCUCAUCACAAGAGGAUUAAAAGUUUGAUCUCGUCAAGCUAAGUGGGAGCUGGAAAGGAAUGGAUCAAACGGAUCAUGGAUGCGAAGAAUGUUUGCGCGGACGCGAGGGUAAAACGGCUUAUGGAAUUUACGUGGCUAUGAAUCAGCAAAUUAUUAAGGCAAGGUAUUAAAACGGGUCAAUACUUUGACCCGCGCCAGGUUCAUUUUGGAUGCCGAGAGACGAUCAAGCUCAUCGAAGAACCGAACACGAUAUAGUUACAUGCUUCCGCACUUUGCCACGUUGUAUAUUUUAAACAACGAAUUCGAUCACGUUUUGUAGAAUAACUUAUGAAUUGUAAAAGUUUUAAUUUACUCGAAAUUUUCUAAGGAUACUUAACCUUAAAUACAUGUUUGUUUUCGUAAAUUAUACGAAAACCUUUA